rnacentral:rRNA from 1 species
GAAUUAUGCGCAAUGGGCGAUAGCCUGACGCAGCGACGCCGCGUGGGGAUGAUCGGCCUUCGGGUGUAACCUCUUCAGCAGGACGAAGCGAGAGUGACGUUACCUGCAGAAGAAGCACCGGCAAAUACGUGCCAGCAGCCGCGGUAUUAGUAGGGUGCGAGCGUCGUCCGGAAUUAUUGGGCGUAAAGAGCUCGUAGGCGGUUUGUCGCGUCGGCUGUGAAAACCUGAGGCUCAACCUCAGGCCUGCAGUCGAUACGGGCAGACUUGAGUGUUGCAGGGGAGACUGGAAUUCCUGGUGUAGCGGUGAAAUGCGCAGAUAUCAGGAGGAACACCGGUGGCGAAGGCGGGUCUCUGGGCAACAACUGACGCUGAGGAGCGAAAGCGUGGGGAGCGAACAGGAUUAGAUACCCUGGUAGUCCACGCCGUAAACGUUGGGCGCUAGGUGUGGGGCUCAUUCCACGAGUUCCGUGCCGCAGCUAACGCAUUAAGCGCCCCGCCUGGGGAGUACGGCCGCAAGGCUAAAACUCAAAGGAAUUGACGGGGGCCCGCACAAGCGGCGGAGCAUGUUGCUUAAUUCGAUGCAACGCGAAGAACCUUACCUAGGCUUGACAUGCACGGAAAUCUCGCAGAGAUGCGGGGUCCGUAAGGGCCGUGCACAGGUGGUGCAUGGUUGUCGUCAGCUCGUGUCGUGAGAUGUUGGGUUAAGUCCCGCAACGAGCGCAACCCUCGUUCUAUGUUGCCAGCGGAUAAUGCCGGGGACUCAUAGGAGACUGCCGGGGUCAACUCGGAGGAAGGUGGGGAUGACGUCAAAUCAUCAUGCCCCUUAUGUCUAGGGCUGCAAACAUGCUACAAUGGCCGGUACAAAGGGCUGCGAUACCGUAAGGUGGAGCGAAUCCCAAAAAGCCGGUCUCAGUUCGGAUUGGGGUCUGCAACUCGACCCCAUGAAGUUGGAGUCGCUAGUAAUCGCAGAUCAGCAACGCCGCGGUGAAUACGUUCCCGGG